UUCCGGUUGAUCCUGCCGGACCCCACUGCUAUCGAGAUGGGACUAAGGUAUGCUAGUCGAACGACCAGAACUAUGUCUGGAAGUGGCACACUGCUCAGUAACACGUAGCUAACCUACCCUUAGGACGUGGAUACCCCCGAGAAAUUGGGGUUAAUCCGCGAUAGGUGUAAUGUCCUGGAAUGGUAUUACGCCUAAAGGUGUAUCAUACAUGUUUGAUAUACGCCUAAGGAUGGGGCUGCGGCCGAUCAGGCUGUUGGUGAGGUAAUGGCUCACCAAACCUUUGACCGGUACGGGCCAUGAGAGUAGUAGCCCGGAGAUGGACACUGAGACAAGGGUCCAGGCCCUAAGGGGCGCAGCAACCGCGAAACCUCCACAAUGCACUCACGUGCGAUGGGGCUAUCUCGAGUGCCACCUGAUGAAGGUGGCUUUUCCUAGGUCUUCAAAGCCUUGGGAAUAAGAGGGGGGCAAGACUGGUGUCAGCCGCCGCGGUAACACCAGCCCCUCGAGUGGUGGGGAUGAUUAUUUGGCCUAAAGCGUCCGUAGCCGGCCGAGCAAGUCUUCCGUUAAAUCCAGCGUCUCAAGCGUUGGACUGCGGGAGAUACUACACGGCUAGAGAGUGGGAGAGGUCAGCGGUAUUCUGGGGGUAGGGGCGAAAUCCUUUGAUCCCCGGAGGACCACCAGUGGCGAAGGCUGCUGACUAGAACACGUCUGACGGUCAGGGACGAAAGCUGGGGUAGCGAACCGGAUUAGAUACCCGGGUAGUCCCAGCCGUAAACGAUGCAUGCUAGGUGUUGGGUUGGCCACGAGCCACCCCAGUGCCGCAGGGAAGCCGUUAAGCAUGCCGCCUGGGAAGUACGAUCGCAAGAUUGAAACUUAAAGGAAUUGGCGGGGGAGCACCACCAGGCGUGAAGCCUGCGGUUUAAUUGGAGUCAACGCCGGA
rnacentral:rRNA from 1 species